AUAUCUUACAGAAUUCGCCCUUAGAGUUUGAUCAUGGCUCAGAACGAACGCUGGCGGCGUGGAUAAGACAUGCAAGUCGAGCGCGACUUAAUCUGUACCAAUACAGGUUAAGUUGAGCGGCGAAAGGGUGCGUAACACGUGGGUAAUUUGCCAUAAAGUUGGGGAUAACUCUGCUGAAAGGCGAGCUAAUACCGGAUGUGGUUUUUGGAAGGCAUCUUCUGGAAANUAAAGUUGGGGACCGCAAGGCCUUACGCUUUAUGAUGAGCCCGCGGCCUAUCAGCUAGUUGGUGAGGUAACGGCUUACCAAGGCUAAGACGGGUAGCUGGUCUGAGAGGACGGACCAGCCACACUGGAACUUGAGACACGGUCCAGACACCUACGGGUGGCAGCAGUCGAGAAUUUUUCUCAAUGGGGGAAACCCUGAAGGAGCNACGCCGCGUGGGGGAUGAAUGGCUUCGGCCCGUAAACCCCUGUCAUUU
rnacentral:rRNA from 1 species